rnacentral:lncRNA from 1 species
AAAGUAAAAAAAAUAAUGUAACAAGUAGAACAUACAAAAAAACUAAACAUUGUAUUCAUAUUAGCCAAAAUGCCGGAAACAAACAAAAUACAAAAUACAUCAAUCAAUAUAGCUGGUACCGGAAACGGCUUCAAGUACUAAAUAAGUGCCGAAAACAGAUACAAAAAGAUUUCAAGUCACUAUAUAAGUGCCGAAAACAGAUACAAAAGAGUUCAAGUAACUAUAUAAGUACCGAAAACAGAUACAAUAGUGGUAAAAACAUCAACUCCCGAUCAACUUUGCCCCUUCCAAUUUAUGUCAAAAUAGUGAGCCACCCUUUCAAUAGAAAACCUCCUCCAAGUUGGACCUAUAAUCUGCACAAUUGCAGAGAAUUUUGGGUAUUUCUGUGCAAUAGCAACAACAGCAUGCAUUUGAUUUUCAUUCCUGACCAGUAUCCUCUCCUGCUUCACAACCCACCGCUCAAUUCUACCCAUAUUCCGGCGGGUUUUUCCCACAGCUGGAUGAUCACCGAUCCAUUUUGUCAUCCUCCCAUACCUUCCGAGAUGUGUAGUGGGUGAAACGACCCAUUAUUACUCUUUCAAAAGCGCCAAACUAAAAUUUUGAUAGAAGCCCGAAAUCAAAUUGUGAGAAGUGAUUCACUCAACUCUAUGAGAUUUGUUUUAUAUAAGAGAAAAGGGAAAUAUUUUAGCGGCAAGGAAGCUAAUUGUGCUUUUUUUUUUUUUUUUAAUUAAUAAUUUGUAAUUUUCCCUCCAUUUGAUAUUGAUGAAUGAUGACGUUUUUGAGUUAAUGAAUUCAAUGAUUUUGAAAAAAAAAAUCUGUUCCGAUAACAUGUUGAGUAAAACUAUGUACAUAAAAAACUAAUUAUUUAUGCAAGUUUAACUAUUAUUGUAUUUUAUUAAAUGAUGAAUUCAAAAAAAAAAUAUAUAUAUAUAUAAAAAGAGAUAAACAUCUGAUUUGAUUUUAAAUAAACACAUAAAAAUCAUGGCAGAGUUUGCAUACAUACAAGUAAUCAUUGUAGCAUCUAGAUAGCUCCACUUGAGCAUUUUAUGGUAGAAGAUGUUGUUCUCCAAUGAAAUAUUUGUUUGAUGUGUUUGAGAUUAGACAGUGGUGUACAAACUUAUUUAGAUAUUGUAAUGAGCUGGUCGGUCAUUUUUGGAAAGUCUCGUGAAUUUAUCGUUUUGUCCUUCUUGAUAUCGACCUCGAGUAUUUUAUGAUUGAGUUUGAAAAGUUGAUUUGAUCUUGGAGUUAAAAGUUGAGAAUUUUGUAAGUUUUGGGUUUGAAAGGCUAAUAUUGUUAAGAAAAUGGUUUUUGGAGUCCUUUGGAGUUUUGACUGUCGGAAUGAAAUUCUAUUGAUUCCAUCAAUCUCGAAAUUGGAAUCUCAGAUAUGAGAUUUGUCGGUUUCAGAUUCUGAGUCUUUUUGAGGAAUUGUUGUGAAAUGGUGAAAAUUUAGCCAUUGGGUUGACAUUGGUCAACAUUCGGGGUUCGGACGUUCGGAUUGAAAUUCUGAGGGCUCUACUGGGUUUGGGAGAUGAUUUUAGGCCUAAGCGAGAUUCCCUUGUCGCGAUCACGUAGCACUAAUUUGAGUUGCAUCGUGAUGGUCAACUUUAAUGAGUUGACUGAUUUUACUCAUCAAUUAUUUGCUCAUUAACUCAACUUUAUCAAAAGAAGUGCCACAAAAUGGUAUCUAUUUAAUAACACAAUUAUAAUUUUAUUUAAAGAAUUUCAUGAAAAUGUAAAACUCGACUGAAACCACAUUAGAAAGGAAGAAAGUAAAUAUAAGAAAUGACAUUACACACUCCAUACUGAUAUUUUAACAUGUACAAUUUGCAAAUUAAUCAAACAAAUUUGCAUGAAUUAAUUAGCUCAUCCCAUAAUUUAUGAAUUCAAAUGUCUGUAAAUUGAACUAAAUAACAGACUAAUUUUUUCAUUUGUUCGUCAUUAAUUUCCUCUUCUUUGUAUGUUCUUCCUUUACCACACAAUAUUUAUUGGUGUGUAUUUGACAUCAAAUCUACACCUCCUCUAGCCAGCUUUAUAUAUAUAUAUAUAUAUAUAUAUAUGUAUGUAAUUACCAUAUAAGUAGAUAAAACAAAUAAGAAAAGUAUUACUUUAACUUAAAUAACAGAGUACAGUUCAUUAAUGAUAUUAUGCUACCAAGUUAUUAAAAUUGAAUGUUUUUCUUCUGAAGUUUGAUAAGUUAAAUUUAUGUGCAUAUGUAAAAUUUGAAGUAGAAAAAACUUCGGCAUAAAAUAUAAAAUAGAAAAAUAACUUUUUCAAUAUAAUUUUGUUUCACAUUCUCUCCCACCUAAAAAAGAUACGCCCAAUACAAACUCAUUUAUUAGUUCAUGACAAAAUAAAGUAAAAUAAGCACAAUACAUUCUAGUUUGGAUGGAAUAAUUAAUUACCUUGUUACAAUUUAAAUACUAAAACCUAUAUUGAACAAUUAAUCAUCCUAAAUCUAUAUAUAUAUAUAUAUAUAAAGGAGGAUCUUCAGCCCGCUGAUAUGACAUGCCUCAAUGAUCAGGAAAUCUUUUUAUCUAUUUUCUCAGAUUUUUGGGUUUCUUUUCCCUAUUUUUCCAUGUAAAUGGAUUUUAAUUAAGGCUACAAUAAUUAAUAGAUUCUAAUCAAUUAUUAAUUAACGUUUAUUAAAGAGGAAAAUACUUUUUCAAAUUUUAAUUGUAACCGUGUCUUUUCCAUGUAAAUGGAUUUUAACUAAGGCUACAAUAAAUAAUUAAUAGAUUCUAAUUCAUUAUUAUCUAUCGCCAAAGAUUGUAUUUAUCUUUUUUUCUCCUUUUUUUUUCCGACAUUUUUUCUUAUUUUUUCUACAAUAAUUUAUUUUUUAAAAUUAUUUUCAUAACUUGCAUCUUUUCAUCUUUAUAAGUACUUUUAAUUAGUAAUUAAUAAAAUUUAUAACUAUCAAACAUUUCAUCUUCAAAACGUCUAAUUAAUUAAUGCAAAAGUUUAUAUAUCAUCCACUAAGUACAUAUCAAACAAGUUCCUAUGUGAAUCUUAAUCAUUCAUUUUAAUGCAGGUAAGUUCCUUCAACAUUAUUUUUUCCUCUUGGUGCUUAUUUUUGUUUUUUUAUUUCUUAGUUAAAAGUUGUUACGUUGAUGCAACUUAUUUAUAAUUAUAAGUUUUAUUGGUAUAUAAUGUGCUCUUCACAAUUAAAAAUUUUAUUGGUCAACGACCAAAACAAGCCAAUAGCCAUUGAGGAAAUUAGUAUUAUCAAAUGAUGGUAACAUUAGUAUAAACUGUAAUUGAUUGUAAUAAUUUUCUUGAAAUGUUUUUCAAUGUUAAUAGUGUUUGACAUAAAUAAAUUACUCUAUAUGCAUAUGUUAAUGGCAAAAGUACUCAUUACCCUCCUGAACUUGAAGCUUUUUAUACGGUGUACACCUAAACUAAAUUUCAUUUUAAUUACUUCGGAACUUGUUUAUUCCUCCGUCGCGUACACCUUUUUCGUCCACCUGGCGUAGAAAUUGACAACACACUCUACUAGGCGCGUGAGGAAGUGAUUUUUUGCCACAUCACAAAGCUACAACGGUAAAAAAAAACGUAAAAUCUCCAUUUUUCUUUAAUAUUUGGCAUAUUUUAAACGAAAAAUAGGGAAAAAUGUAAAUGAAAAGUAAAGGAAACAAAGAUUAACACUUACUUGGUAAGAAUUUCAGACAAAUUUGAAAUUUAAUCGACCAACUUCACGUCUAGAAAAACAAUAUGCCAAAUAUUAAAGAAAAAUGGAGAUUUUACAUUUUUUUUACUGUUGUAGCUUUGUGAUGUGGCAAAAAAUCACUUCCUCACGCGCCUAGUAGAGUGUGUUGUCAAUUUCUACGCCAGGUGGACAAAAAAGGUGUACACGACGGAGGAAUAAACAAGUUCGAGGGGUAAUUAAAACGGAAUUUAGUUUAGGUGUACAUCGUAUAAAAAGCUUCAAGUUGAGGGGGGUAAUGAGUACUUUUGCCUAUGCUAAUUAGAUACGAAUGUUCAAUAUGCCCAAUCCAAAUAUUCUUCGACGUUUCUCAAAUGCACCAUCACGGAAUGAACGAGCAUUGGGGUUGCAGUCUAUCUAUAUAUAUAAUAGGAGAAGUAAAAAGUGUCAUAUGUCAGCACCAUAAAAAUUUAUCCAUUUUUUAGUUUUAAAAAUUAAAUUUUAAAAUAAUUUAAAUCUGUAUUAGUUAGUAAUUUUAAAUUUAAAUUUUAAAAUUUUAAAAAAUCAAUAUAUUUUGAACGAAUUAUUUUCAAAAUUAAAAAGUUACCAUAGAUAAAGUGCCACAUGUCAACACCACAAAUUUCUCCAUUUUUUAGUUUUAAAAAUUAAAUUUUAAAAUAAUUUAAAUCUGUAUUAGUUAGUAAUUUUAAAUUUAAAUUUUAAAAAAUCAAUAUAUUUUGAACGGAUUAUUUUUAAAAUUAAAAAGGUUACCAUAGAUAAAGUGCCACAUGUCAGCACCACAAAUUCCUCCAUUUUUUAGUUUUAAAAAUUAAAUUUUAAAAUAAUUUAAAUCUGCAUUAGUUAGUAAUUUUAAAUUUAAAUUUUAAAAUUUUAAAAAAUCAAUAUAUUUUGAACGGAUUAUUUUUAAAAUUAAAAAAGUUACCAUAGAUAAAGUGCCACAUGUCAACAUCACAAAUUUCUCCAUUUUUUAGUUUUAAAAAUUAAAUUUUAAAAUAAUUUAAAUCUGCAUUAGUUAGUAAUUUUAAAUUUUUAAAUUUUAAUUUUUUUUAAAAUCAGUAUAUUUUGAACGGAUUAUUUUUAAAAUUAAAAAGUUACCAUAGAUAGUAUAACUCUUCUUCAUUCUUUAGAAAUAACUGAUUAGAUGGCUAAUGUUUAAAUUUUAUUGGACUCUUAUAUUUAUUCUAAUUAGAAUAUUUAUUUUUAUCCCAUAUAUUUGUGAGUAUAAAUGGGUAAUGGGGUACCUGUUGUGUAAUUUUGUUUUUAAAAAAAACUGUCAAAAAAUUAAAAUAAAACAAAGCUGUCACCGUAUUAAAACUGCCACCACGUUUAAAGCUAUAUAAUAUAGCUUUUAAUCUUUUUUCCCAAUCUCUCAAUAAUUGAUUUUCUCUCUUUGAUUCUCUAUUUCCGUAUCAUUUUCCAUUAUUGAUUCUCUAGAAAAAUUUAAAAGUCUUCAAUUUACAGAAAAAAAGAAGUGAAGAAGAUCACACCCCCCCCCCACCCCACCCCGCAAAAAAUAAGAAGAAGAAGAAUGAUUAUGUUAAUACCAAUUUUUUUUAUUGAAGAUCAUAUAUUUGUUCUCUGUUUUAUAUUUGUGUUACAAAAUGAAUUUAAAAUGUAUUUUCAAUUGAUUCAUCUUUUUUUUUUUAUGUAUAUGUAUUAUCUGUUUCCACAUAAUAAAAUUAUAAUUUUGAUUUCUUUAGGAAUGAAGCACUUCUAGGACUUCAUCACAGACCGAAGAAUUCUCCACCAGGUAAAACACAAAAUUUGGGAGUCUUUAUUUUCUCUUUUGUUAUAUCUUUUAAAUUAUAAAUAAAAUUUAAAUUGUGAGGAUUGCUAUUAAAAUUAUUAUGAAAAAUAUUUUUUCAUUUAAAAUCAACUCAUAUCGUUAGUAAUUUAAGUGCAUUGAGAAGAUAUGAAAUUCUAUUAACCUUAUAAGUUUUUAAUUUGUAUUUAAUUAAAGGUCAUAUGUAGAAGAAAAAACUUAUAUUCAAUCAUUCAUUCUUGCUUAUAAUGAUGUUGGUCAUAAAACAAGAAGAAAUAUGUAAAUUUUUAAUUUUGUCAUUCAUUCAGAAAAUUCUAAUGUGCUACUAAUUAUCAUUAUAUUGACCAUAGUUGUUUGAAAAGUGUUUGAUAUAUAAUUUUCAUACCAAUUCUUAUCAAUAUCAACAUUUGAAUUUUUAUCUUUACAAAAGUUAUACAGAAAAAAGAAUUUGAAAUUAAAUAAAAUAUUUUUAAUAAAAAAGUAGCUUUGUGAAACGGUUCCACUAAUUAAGACAAAUUCAAAGGUUACAUGUGUAAUCACAUACUAAACACUUAAUGUGAAAACAGUUAGAGAAGAUAUCAUGGGGUUAUAUUUUUUGUUUGAUAAAAAAAGAGGGGCAUAAAUAGAGCAAAUAAUUAAAUGCUAAACAUUAUUGUUAACAAAUUUAGACAAUGGAAGAAUUCUAAGCAAUAAAAUAUAGAAUAACAAUAAUUUUAAAAUUUCACGCUUAUGAAAAAUAUGUAUUAAUUGAUAUCUUUUAGUUAUAUAUAAUAUGAGACGUAAAAACUGUCACGUGUCAUCACCAUAAAAAAUAGUAUUUUUCACAUUAGAAAUAAAAGUUGAUUCAAAUUCCAUCUAUUUGUAAGUAAAAGGAAGAAAGUCUAGCAUCAAAACAAAAUUCAAUUUAAUCUUAAAAUACCUUUAAGUGUAAUUGUUUGUCUUUAACUUACAAAAAAUCAAAUUCAAAUUUUAAUAGUUUCUAUUAUUUUUGAAAUUUUAUUUUUUUUAAAUCAAAUUUUGGCAACUGUUUAAAAUAAUGAAAUCUAAAAGUAUUUUCAAUUAUAAAAGAAACAGAAAGAAAUGUGAGUUAUUAGUAUUAUUUUUUGAAUACUCCCUCCGUCCCUAUUUAGUUGUCCACUUUAGAAAUGACACACAGAUUAAUGCAACAAUGAUUAGCAUAGUGAAGUUACAAUUUUACCCUUAUAGUACAAUUUACAAUUCCAAAAUAAAUUCACUCAAGAUAACUAAUCAAUGCUCGCAUAAGUUUAUUUACUUUAUUUAUGACAACUUUUCACUUCAAAAUUACAGCCACUUCUUUGAAUUCAAGUGAAAUAAAUUGGAGGGAAACAACAUACACUUUUACAAUAUUUUGUAACAUUUAAAAAUUUCCACUAAAAUAUUUUGUUAUAAAAAAAUGCUUCAAUGAAAUGAGAAAUCAAACAACCAAUGGAUACAAGACAAAAUAAAUCAAGUUCAAUGAAUGGAAUAGAUUUAAAUAUUUAUGUUGAAGUGGAUCUUCAAUCAAUAUAAGUGAGUCUUCUACUUUGAUAGGAGUAUUAGUUGAAACUUCAACUUUAUUUCUGUCCAUUUUUUUAGUAAAAAAAUUGUUCAAAAUUUUUACUCAUAAACUAACAAAAUGCUUUAUGGGUAACUUAAAGGACUGUGUAACUCCGCAAGCAUAAUAAAUGUAUUGUCUAGUUCCAAAAAUGAUGAAUUACAGCUUACUAGAAAUUUUCAAGAAGUUUAAAUAAGGGUAUAAUAGAAAAAAAUUAUUGUCCUUUCUUGAUUUGUCAAAAUGGACAACUAAAUAGGGACAUCUAAAAAAGGAAAUAUGAACAACUAAAUAGGAACGGAGGGAGUAGAAUAUAAGAUAAAUUUUAGACCAUGAAGAAAAAAGCAUUUUUGUUGAAGCUAUUCUCUUGAAAUGUCCAAACAAAUAGGGAAGACUUACCUGAUGCUCUAGCUCCUUAUGCAGUGGUAUUAGCUUUCUGAGCUCAAUCUGCAGAGGAUAAAGAAACAAAGGGUGAGUCGUCCUGUUAAGGGGACUUUUCAAGCUUAAAUGCUUCCAUUCAGCGAUCUUACCUAGAGUUGGAAAAGAUACACGACUUUUGAGUUGAAGAAGUCUUCAAAGAGUUUGAAUCCAUGGCAUUAGUGAGACUGGUUAAUACCCGGAUGGAUGUCGCUCAAAUUCAAAAAAUUGUGUUGAAGAUAGAGAUCGAUCGGUGAGGUUGCUGCUAUGCCAAGGGAGAAGAAGACCGUCACUUUCCUUUUUGUUUCUGGGUUUCUUUAAUUUUGUUUGUAGUUGUUUACAUGGGCUUGGGUCACUUUUGGACCCAAGCUCCUUAGUUGUAUUGAUUUUUAAUAAAUGGGCC